GCAUCCAGUCCAGAUGCAGGGAGUAGGAUCUGCUUGGGGCCCAGGCCCUGGGGCCUGUCCCAGCCAUACCUCCUGCCUCCAAGUGUCCCCACCGCCAGCAUCAGGAAGGCCCCACAGUCCUGGCAGUCCCCUGAUCCUGGAGGUGCUGGGGUGUCUGCUGCUUGCUGGAGGUAGACAUGCAUGUGUCGACCCCGAGCUCUGCUCCUCUCCACAGGAUGAGAAGGAGCAGCUGAAUGAGUAUAAGGGGCACCUCUCUGGCUUGGCCAAGAGAGCCAAGGCCAUUGUGCAGCUGAAACCUCGCAACCCGGCUUACCCCAUCCGAGGCCCUGUGCCCCUGCUGGCUGUAUGUGAUUACAAGCAGGUGGAGGUGAGGGCUGAGCCAGGUGGGGCGGUCCGACUGGAGGGGGUGGGCAGAGGCAUGAGCAUGACCACAUUGUCAUCACCUCUGGCUGUCCCAGGUGACUGUGCACAAGGGUGACCAGUGCCAGCUGAUGGGCCCUGCUCAGCCAUCUCACUGGAAAGUGCUUAGCAGCUCUGGCAGUGAGGCUGCUGUGCCCUCCGUGUGCUUCCUUGUGCCCCCACCCAACCAGGAAGCCCAGGAAGCCAUCACCAGGUGGGUGGCCUAUGGGGUCCUUGACUGGAAGGGGUGGAUAGUGGGCAGGGCCUCAAAACCCUUGACUGUGACCCUGACCUGCCAGGCUGGAGGCCCAGCACCAGGCCCUCGUUGCACUGUGGCACCAGCUGCAUGUGGACAUGAAGAGCCUUCUGGCAUGGCAGAGCCUCAGCCGUGAUGUGCAGCUCAUCCGUUCCUGGUCCCUGGUCACGGUAUGACUGCCCACUGGCCAUGGACAUUCUGGGGGAGAAGAGGAAGUGGUGUCCUGUGGGGAGCCAGCUAGCCUCAUCCCACGUUAACCCCCAUGUCCACCCCCAGUUCCGCACGUUGAAGCCUGAGGAACAGCGCCAAGCCCUACGCAGCCUGGAGUUGCACUACCAGGCCUUCCUGCGGGACAGCCAGGAUGCUGGCAGCUUUGGGCCAGAGGACCGGCUGGUGGCGGAACGCGAGUACAGCUCUUGUAGCCGCCAUUACCAGCAGCUGCUACAGAGCUUGGAGCAGGGUA
rnacentral:lncRNA from 1 species